AAAAGUCGUAACAAGGUCUCCGUUGGUGAACCAGCGGAGGGAUCAUUACCGAGUUUACAACUCCCAAACCCCUGUGAACAUACCUUAUGUUGCCUCGGCGGAUCAGCCCGCGCCCCGUAAAAAGGGACGGCCCGCCGCAGGAACCCUAAACUCUGUUUUUAGUGGAACUUCUGAGUAUAAAAAACAAAUAAAUCAAAACUUUCAACAACGGAUCUCUUGGUUCUGGCAUCGAUGAAGAACGCAGCAAAAUGCGAUAAGUAAUGUGAAUUGCAGAAUUCAGUGAAUCAUCGAAUCUUUGAACGCACAUUGCGCCCGCCAGUAUUCUGGCGGGCAUGCCUGUUCGAGCGUCAUUUCAACCCUCAAGCCCAGCUUGGUGUUGGGAGCUGCAGUCCUGCUGCACUCCCCAAAUACAUUGGCGGUCACGUCGAGCUUCCAUAGCGUAGUAAUUUACACAUCGUUACUGGUAAUCGUCGCGGCCACGCCGUUAAACCCCAACUUCUGAAUGUUGACCUCGGAUCAGGUAGGAAUACCCGCUGAACUUAAG
rnacentral:rRNA from 1 species